rnacentral:tRNA from 3 species
GCCGAGGUGGCAGAGCGGCCAAAUGCGACAGAUUCGAAAUCUGUUAUUCCCUUGGAAUGCGCGGGUUCAAAUCCCUCCCUCGGCG